GUCCAUCUCUUCCGUUCUUCCUGCAGAUGGAGGUGGUGACUGCUAUUGGAGGUGCCAUUCUCUCCGUUUCCUUUCAGGAACUGCUUGAUAGGUUGACGUCCAGGGACUUGCUGAAGUAUGCCCAAGAGGGGAAUGUCCUUGUUGAACUCAAGAAAUGGGAGAGGAUGUUGAAGAAAAUUUACUUGGUACUUGACGAUGCCGAGGAAAAGCAGUGGGAGAACCCA
rnacentral:misc_RNA from 1 species